CAGUAGCCGCGGGAAUACGUAGGGCGCAAGCGUUAUCCGGAAUUAUUGGGCGUAAAGAGCUCGUAGGCGGUUUGUCGCGUCUGCCGUGAAAGUCCGGGGCUCAACCCCGGAUCUGCGGUGGGUACGGGCAGACUAGAGUGAUGUAGGGGAGACUGGAAUUCCUGGUGUAGCGGUGAAAUGCGCAGAUAUCAGGAGGAACACCGAUGGCGAAGGCAGGUCUCUGGGCAUUAACUGACGCUGAGGAGCGAAAGCAUGGGGAGCGAACAGGAUUAGAUACCCCUGUAGUCCCUGUCUCUUAUAA
rnacentral:rRNA from 1 species